CCCAGUGUGUUUCGACACACUAUCAUUAACUGAAUCCAUAGGUUAAUGAGGCGAACCGGGGGAACUGAAACAUCUAAGUACCCCGAGGAAAAGAAAUCAACCGAGAUUCCCCCAGUAGCGGCGAGCGAACGGGGAGCAGCCCAGAGCCUGAAUCAGUGUGUGUGUUAGUGGAAGCGUCUGGAAAGGCGUGCGAUACAGGGUGACAGCCCCGUACACAAAAAUGCACAUGCUGUGAGCUCGAUGAGUAGGGCGGGACACGUGGUAUCCUGUCUGAAUAUGGGGGGACCAUCCUCCAAGGCUAAAUACUCCUGACUGACCGAUAGUGAACCAGUACCGUGAGGGAAAGGCGAAAAGAACCCCGGCGAGGGGAGUGAAAAAGAACCUGAAACCGUGUACGUACAAGCAGUGGGAGCACGCUUAGGCGUGUGACUGCGUACCUUUUGUAUAAUGGGUCAGCGACUUAUAUUCUGUAGCAAGGUUAACCGAAUAGGGGAGCCGAAGGGAAACCGAGUCUUAACUGGGCGUUAAGUUGCAGGGUAUAGACCCGAAACCCGGUGAUCUAGCCAUGGGCAGGUUGAAGGUUGGGUAACACUAACUGGAGGACCGAACCGACUAAUGUUGAAAAAUUAGCGGAUGACUUGUGGCUGGGGGUGAAAGGCCAAUCAAACCGGGAGAUAGCUGGUUCUCCCCGAAAGCUAUUUAGGUAGCGCCUCGUGAAUUCAUCUCCGGGGGUAGAGCACUGUUUCGGCAAGGGGGUCAUCCCGACUUACCAACCCGAUGCAAACUGCGAAUACCGGAGAAUGUUAUCACGGGAGACACACGGCGGGUGCUAACGUCCGUCGUGAAGAGGGAAACAACCCAGACCGCCAGCUAAGGUCCCAAAGUCAUGGUUAAGUGGGAAACGAUGUGGGAAGGCCCAGACAGCCAGGAUGUUGGCUUAGAAGCAGCCAUCAUUUAAAGAAAGCGUAAUAGCUCACUGGUCGAGUCGGCCUGCGCGGAAGAUGUAACGGGGCUAAACCAUGCACCGAAGCUGCGGCAGCGACGCUGAUGCGUUGUUGGGUAGGGGAGCGUUCUGUAAGCCUGCGAAGGUGUGCUGUGAGGCAUGCUGGAGGUAUCAGAAGUGCGAAUGCUGACAUAAGUAACGAUAAAGCGGGUGAAAAGCCCGCUCGCCGGAAGACCAAGGGUUCCUGUCCAACGUUAAUCGGGGCAGGGUGAGUCGACCCCUAAGGCGAGGCCGAAAGGCGUAGUCGAUGGGAAACAGGUUAAUAUUCCUGUGCUUGGUGUUACUGCGAAGGGGGGACGGAGAAGGCUAUGUUGGCCGGGCGACGGUUGUCCCGGUUUAAGCGUGUAGGCUGGUUUUCCAGGCAAAUCCGGAAAAUCAAGGCUGAGGCGUGAUGACGAGGCACUACGGUGCUGAAGCAACAAAUGCCCUGCUUCCAGGAAAAGCCUCUAAGCAUCAGGUAACAUCAAAUCGUACCCCAAACCGACACAGGUGGUCAGGUAGAGAAUACCAAGGCGCUUGAGAGAACUCGGGUGAAGGAACUAGGCAAAAUGGUGCCGUAACUUCGGGAGAAGGCACGCUGAUAUGUAGGUGAAGUCCCUCGCGGAUGGAGCUGAAAUCAGUCGAAGAUACCAGCUGGCUGCAACUGUUUAUUAAAAACACAGCACUGUGCAAACACGAAAGUGGACGUAUACGGUGUGACGCCUGCCCGGUGCCGGAAGGUUAAUUGAUGGGGUCAGCGCAAGCGAAGCUCUUGAUCGAAGCCCCGGUAAACGGCGGCCGUAACUAUAACGGUCCUAAGGUAGCGAAAUUCCUUGUCGGGUAAGUUCCGACCUGCACGAAUGGCGUAAUGAUGGCCAGGCUGUCUCCACCCGAGACUCAGUGAAAUUGAACUCGCUGUGAAGAUGCAGU
rnacentral:rRNA from 1 species